rnacentral:rRNA from 1 species
UACGAAGGGGGCUAGCGUUGUUCGGAAUUACUGGGCGUAAAGCGCACGUAGGCGGAUAUUUAAGUCAGGGGUGAAAUCCCAGAGCUCAACUCUGGAACUGCCUUUGAUACUGGGUAUCUUGAGUAUGGAAGAGGUAAGUGGAAUUGCGAGUGUAGAGGUGAAAAUUCGUAGAUAUUCGCAGGAACACCAGUGGCGAAGGCGGCUUACUGGUCCAUAACUGACGCUGAGGUGCGAAAGCGUGGGGAGCAAACAGG